rnacentral:rRNA from 1 species
GGCGAACGGGUGAGUAAUAUAUCGGAACGUGCCCAGUCGUGGGGGAUAACGUAGUGAAAAUUACGCUAAUACCGCAUACGAUCUAAGGAUGAAAGCGGGGGAUCGCAAGACCUCGCGCGAUUGGAGCGGCCGAUAUCAGAUUAGGUAGUUGGUGAGGUAAAGGCUCACCAAGCCAACGAUCUGUAGCUGGUCUGAGAGGACGACCAGCCACACUGGAACUGAGACACGGUCCAGACUCCUACGGGAGGCAGCAGUGGGGAAUUUUGGACAAUGGACGCAAGUCUGAUCCAGCCAUUCCGCGUGCAGGACGAAGGCCUUCGGGUUGUAAACUGCUUUUGUACAGAACGAAAAGGUCUCUAUUAAUACUAGGGGCUCAUGACGGUACUGUAAGAAUAAGCACCGGCUAACUACGUGCCAGCAGCCGCGGUAAUACGUAGGGUGCAAGCGUUAAUCGGAAUUACUGGGCGUAAAGCGUGCGCAGGCGGUUAUAUAAGACAGAUGUGAAAUCCCCGGGCUCAACCUGGGAACUGCAUUUGUGACUGUAUAGCUGGAGUGCGGCAGAGGGGGAUGGAAUUCCGCGUGUAGCAGUGAAAUGCGUAGAUAUGCGGAGGAACACCGAUGGCGAAGGCAAUCCCCUGGGCCUGUACUGACGCUCAUGCACGAAAGCGUGGGGAGCAAACAGGAUUAGAUACCCUGGUAGUCCACGCCCU